GACGAACGCUGGCGGCGUGCCUAAUACAUGCAAGUUGAGCGCUGAAGGUUGGUACUUGUACCAACUGGAUGAGCAGCGAACGGGUGAGUAACGCGUGGGGAAUCUGCCUUUGAGCGGGGGACAACAUUUGGAAACGAAUGCUAAUACCGCAUAAAAACUUUAAACACAAGUUUUAAGUUUGAAAGAUGCAAUUGCAUCACUCAAAGAUGAUCCCGCGUUGUAUUAGCUAGUUGGUGAGGUAAAGGCGCACCAAGGCGAUGAUACAUAGCCGACCUGAGAGGGUGAUCGGCCACAUUGGGACGGAGACACGGCCCAAACGCCUACGGGAGGCAGCAGUAGGGAAUCUUCGGCAAUGGACGAAAGUCUGACCGAGCAACGCCGAGGGAGUGAAGAAGGUUUUCGGAUCGUAAAACUCGGUUGGUAGAGAAGAACGUUGGUGAGAGUGGAAAGCUCAUCAAGUGACGGUAACUACCCAGAAAGGGACGGCUAACUACGUG
rnacentral:rRNA from 1 species